rnacentral:misc_RNA from 1 species
GAUGAAGAACGCAGCGAAAUGCGAUAAGUAAUGUGAAUUGCAGAAUUCAGUGAAUCAUCGAAUCUUUGAACGCACAUUGCGCCCGCGAGUAUUCUCGCGGGCAUGCCUGUCCGAGCGUCAUUUCAACCCUCAGGGCCCGCCUGCUUCGGCAGGCGCGGCGCUGGUGUUGGGAUCGGCCUAACCGCCGUCCCCCAAAUACAGUGGCGGUCUCGCUGCAGCCUCCCCUGCGUAGUAGCAACACUCGCAUGCGGAGCGCGGCGCGGCCACGCCGUAAAACCCCCGACUUUCUGAACGUUGACCUCGGAUCAGGUAGGAAUACCCGCUGAACUUAAGCAUAUCAAUAAGCGGAGGA